UCUGGGCGUGGUGGCGGGCGCCUGUAAUCCCAGCUACUUGGGAGGCUGAGGCAGGAGAAUUACUUGAACCCGGGAGGCAGAGGCUGCAGUGAGCUGAGAUUGUGCCACUGCACUCCAGCCUGGGUGACAGAGUGAGACUCUGUCUCAA
rnacentral:SRP_RNA from 1 species